rnacentral:rRNA from 1 species
GAUGAACGCUGGCGGCGUGCCUAAUACAUGCAAGUCGAGCGAACAGACGAGGAGCUUGCUCCUCUGACGUUAGCGGCGGACGGGUGAGUAACACGUGGAUAACCUACCUAUAAGACUGGGAUAACUUCGGGAAACCGGAGCUAAUACCGGAUAAUAUAUUGAACCGCAUGGUUCAAUAGUGAAAGACGGUUUUGCUGUCACUUAUAGAUGGAUCCGCGCCGCAUUAGCUAGUUGGUAAGGUAACGGCUUACCAAGGCAACGAUGCGUAGCCGACCUGAGAGGGUGAUCGGCCACACUGGAAGUGAGAACGGGCCCAGACACCUAGGGGGGGAAGCAGUAGGGAAUCUUACGCAAUGGGGGAGAGCCGGACGGAGCAACGCCGCGGGAGGGAUGAAGGUGUUCGGAUCGGAAAACGCUGUUAUUAGGGAAGAACAAAUGUGUAAGUAACUAUGCACGUAUUGACGGUACCGAAUCAGAAAGCCACGGCUAACUACGUG